UCAGUCCACAGUGCCAUUGUAGGAUUUAUUGAACUUGUUGAAGGUGAAGUCCACAGUGUGCGUGGAGAUGGGCUUUCUGUACAAUGGGUUUGAAGCCUACAGAACAUGGCGGGGAAGAGGAUGAGGACACAUGUUAGCUCACACACUCAAACCAGCAGACGCCGCCCUAGGAUCCCUUCCCAGGUCAGCCACCCACGACAGCAGCAGGCAGAGCACUCAGGAGGAGAUGGCCAUGCGCUCUAGGACAGCUCUGUGUUCCCCGGGAAAGCUCUCGCCUUCUCUAAGCUUGCACUAUCCACCUCUGGAAGGAGGAGUUGGGUCAGAAGGUCUCUGAAGUCCCUUCCAGCUUUAACAGAAACCAAGCCCAGGUUCAGCAGGCACUGACUCUGCGCUCAGUCCUUUGGGCGUCUGCAGUCCGCCUGGGCUGACCAGACUGCAGGUGUGAGUGUUGUAAUGGACCAUAAGAAUCUGAGCUUUCCUGUGGGUCUGUGGUCUCUCUAAGACUGAUCAGACUCUUCCUGAGGCACACCCAGCGCCUCUGCCCCCAUGACCCUCCUGAUCUGGGUUUGGAACAGGGAUCUGUGCAGGUCACUCUGCACUGGGGUUAUGCAAUUCUCUCCGUUCAGAACUGGGCACAGUCUUUCUGGUGUUCUUUGUUUUUAAUGCCAAAGACAUUAGUGAGCCUCUAUUGCUAACGUACCACUGAACUCAACCACGCCUCUGAGCUUGAAGUCUCUGCUUCCCAUUUCCCACAUGCUUACCAUUUCAUAGCGGGCCCUGGAUCGCUCGCUCUGGAACUUUGCAAACUCCCUCCGGUCGUGGAUGGUGACGAGCAGCUUCCAGAUAGCCAGGAGUGCGAGCCCAACCAGGAGGAUGCUGCCGACCACAGCCAGGAGGAUGGUCAUGGCGUUGGGGGUGUUUCCACACUCUGGGGGGACCAGAAACAUGGUAAGCAAAGCCACUAGCAUCACCAUGCCCCUCCCACCCCCCAGCUGCAGGCAUUUCUGAGAUAAAAGUUGCACCCCUCCCAAAGGCCUUCUCCUUGGCUCUCUUAGAUCCUCAGGAAGGUUUCCCCAAUAUACAAAAAAUGAAAGAUUCAAAAGGGCCAGUGGCUGUUCCAAAGUCACACAGCAAGUGUGGCAAAGUCUAGAUGAGAGCCCUGGGGCAUAGCUGCCUUUCCCCUCAUGGGCAGCACCCAUGCCCUGCCUGGCCCGGUCUCCAUUGUGGGAUGCUGGACCCGCUCAGCUUUCAUGUACAUGGUUUCAGGAGCAGACUGGCAGGCAGGAGGUACCAUGAAGCCACUUCUACAAGGUCUGGGCUGGGGGCCAACAUUUGUAAGCCUUUAGUGUGGAAUUCCUUGGAGUAAAUGUGCUUAUUUUCAAAGAACCGCAGAGACAGCACUGGAAACAAAGCCUCAUUCUUACAGGCGUGUGUCCUAGGCUGGUACCACACUUCUCUCUGCCUCUGGCCUCAGGAAGGCACAUUAUGUGGUUGGGCCCAAUUUGGAAAAAUAGUUUGCAGUGCUGUCAACUGAAGAGAGCCAAUCUUCUUCUGCUCCACCCCUGCCUCCUCACCCCCAAGAAGAAUGUAAGGGGUGAUAUCAGAAAUUCCAAUUACUCCGAGGCAAAGGCUAUUGGUCCCUGAGUCCAAGCAGAGGCAGAAUUUUGGUAUUUGGAUUGCAGCUUGACCUCUUCAGUGGUUCUGGAAGCUGAGCAUGGGAGCAGCAGGAAUGUUGAACCCAGCGCUCCGUUGUCCUUGGAAUCCACGCUGGGAAGAGCAGCGGCCCUGCCCGGGCUGUGUGUGAAGCUGGAUGCUCCCUGACUUGAGUGAUACCCUGCCCAGCCCAGGUGGUCCAGAUGCCCUGCACCCUCCCUGCAGAACACAGCGGCUCCUUGCUGCCUUUGGCUGUGCAGGGAAACUGCCAAGCUGCUUUCCAAAGUCUAUACCAUUCUACAUUCCCAUCAGCCGUGGAUGACGGUUCCAGCACCGGGUCCUCAUGGGGAGCCCACAGUUAUGCCCAGGAAGCCUGGGCUGUGCCUCCUGACUCAAGGCUAAAACCACCCUCCUCCCCAGGGAGGAGAGAAACCGUGGCUGCCCAGGCGGCGGCGGCACACUCACCAAUGGUGUCCACCCAUGUGAUCACCUCGUCCCUGCACAGGCUGUGGCAGGUCUGGUUGUCAGGUUUCCCGGAGUGGAGCAGCAGGCACUCGACGCAAUCUCUUUGGAAAAGAGGAAAUAAAGGUGGGUGUCAGACAAUGUAGAACAGUCCCACACCUGUCCCUGAGCUCCCGACAGUGCAGGACCUGGGAAGGCUUUCAUUUCUUUCUAGCCGCAGAUGUUCAGCCUCAGGGAAUGUGUCUGCUCCGCCUUUCUUGUUGCUAUGCGAGGAAGCCCAAGGGUUCUUGGAGGAACCUGUGUGAGUUUAGUGGCAUGUCUUUACAUGUCAAGUUGCAGACCUUUCAAAUUCUGACACCAGGAGCCAAAUCCAUUUGCACUCUGGUCCAUCUAAUGCCUGGUGAGGCGUCUGGUCAUCACCCAGGGCAGGGAUCUCAACCCUCCCACACAUUCAACUCUCCAGGGAGCUUUCAAGAGAAACUCCCAGUACCUGAGCCCAACCACACCCCCAGGGCCAGGCUUCCUGGGCAAUUCUGAUGCGUGUCGAGGGCUGAGAUCCACUGUCCUGGAGAAUCUCAGGCUCCAGCCCCCUUCUCCCUCUCAGACAGAGUCCACCUGCCAGGUCCCCCAGGCCUGCUGUCCUCUUAACCCACGAAUCAGUCUACACCAGGCUCUGGCACAGGCUCUAGGGUGAUGGCUCCCUCCCAGGGAACCCUUGUUCUUUAACAGGGGCCUCCUCUAGAAAAUGGAUGAGCAGCCCAAAAGUGACAGCUUGAGCCUCUCUCCUCCCACCUCAGGCUAACAGUGGGUGCUGGCUCAAUCAGAUAGUGGGUGAAAAUGCUUGACUACAAAGUUCAAUUAAAUGGUCAGUAUUAUACUUUAUAUCAUCAAAACCAAGUUCCAGACAUUCUUUCUCUGUCUUAGGAGACAUUUGGGAGAACGGGAUUCCUGAGGUCACAGGGCGGGGAGCUACGCUCUGGCUGCAGGACUGUAAAGCUGAUGUUCAAGGGGAGAGGUCCCAGGCUCCGCUGGUGGCUGGGGGAUGGUGAGCACAAAGCUCCAGGGAGGAGAGGGCUGGGGCGUGUCGUUCUCAAGGACUUUGUGAUGCCGUGCUGCCUGGUGGCCUUUGAGGAGAGUGAGACCCCAGGAGAGGCGCCUAGGAAACCGGGUCAGGACUCAAGAGCCAGGUGUGCUGGGGAGGCCACCAGAGUGCAGGGGGUGACCUCCUCAGAACCUCAACUACACGAGGGACAGCUGCUGUGCCGCCACAGGCCUGUGGGGACCAAAGGGGCUGUGUGUGCAGAAAGCUCUCUGCCAAAAAUACAGAGGGAUGUGCAACUGCAA